CAACACCUGCAAAGAGGUAAUAAGUUCGGCUUCUAAGGACGGAGAUUUCAGAGCAUAUAUAAAUUGCCAGGGAUUUUGUUAAUCUUCCACACAAACCAUACAUUGUCUGCUGUCACAGAAUCCUGCUCCUAAAUUCGUGGACGUCUACUUCAACAAAACGUGAGUAUAUAAUUAUGGAGCUUGCCAAUUUAGUUUGGUUGUUAAAUCAUUCCGCAUGUGUUGAAUUUUUUCUGAUCCAAAAGAUGCAAAAGAAGAUUUACUGAUUAUCCAAGCAAAUUAUACAAGCUAUAUUUAAUCUAACCAAACAAAGAAAGACAAGUUUACCUGCAAGGAUACGACUUUAUACUGAAGAUGCAUAUAUAUAUAUAUAUAUAUAUAUAUAUAUAUAUAUAUAUAUAUAUAUAUAUAUAUAUAUAUAUAUAUAUAUAUAUAUAUAUAUAUAUAUUAUCUUAUUCACCUGAGUACAUUACACCAACACAGCAAAUAUCGUAUAUACUACUGUCAGUAUAUAGUUCCACGACAAGUGACAAUUAAUCUGGCUUUUUUCUCAAAAUAAACAGUUAUUUUUUUAUAACAUUUUUUAUCCAUAUGCCAGGAUCGUGCAAAUAAUCCACUUAGUCGCUAUUUAAAUUUUUGUUAUAUUUUUUUUUUGACAAAUAAAAAUCUUAAUAUAGUAAAUUUAUUGAUGCUGGUAAGCAAAACCAAAAAUUAAUACUGAAAAGACAAAACAUAUCAAAUAAUAUAUAUUUAUAGCUAGUAUUCGGUUAUUAAAUGAAAUGAGCAUGAAAACAAUUUUGCUUUUAUUAGUUGGUUUAAUUUAUAUCCAUGCAAGUAUACUGGCAUAGUUUUCAUAACUGCAAAACUGUUUUGUUUUCUAGAAAAUGAAAACAGCAAUCGUAUUCAUCGUGUUGGUACUCUGUUUAUCACAAACUAUGGCUUGGAACGAUGGACUUUGGGGAAGGGAAUUACGUAAAAGAGUGAAACCCAAAAUUGAUGCUGAAACAAUGAAGUUAGCUGAAGAAAUGAUCAACCAGCAACUUUAUCGUGGAAAGGGAAGAAAGAUGCAACUACAGAACGAUGACAGAUUACGGGAAGUGGAAGAAUCAUGACUGAGCAAUUAAAAAUAUCAUUCAACAAAUACUAGCUGCAGAACAUAAAUAGCUAAUCAUAUUAAAUUAACUAGCUGUAACCGGAUGUAAUAAAUAAGUUUGUCAUAUUUUCCCAGCUUAUAAAGUUGUAAAGUGAGAAUAAAUGUUCAUUAAAUAAGAAUUCAUUGAUCCAAGAAUUCUUCUAAAACGUC